rnacentral:tRNA from 1 species
GCCUGGUUGGCUCAGUCUGUGGAGCAUGUGACUCUUGAUCUCAGGGUUAUGAGUUCAAGCCCCACAUUGGGUG